AGCAUAGCGGAAGGGUAUCGCUCUGUUUCAGGCCUAAGCGUAACAUUAAGCGAGAAGCGGAAAAGGCGGCCCGAUUAAGCGAUGAGCGUGCGCUUCAGCGCGCAGAAGCGAUAGAAGGCGAAAGAAAAGCAGAGCUCGAGCGUCUAUGGUAGCCGGCAGGAAUCGGGAAAUUUUAGGGCUAGGUGGGAGGGAAACGGCGCAAUUAGGGUUGCCUGGCACUCCAAUCAACCAUUCCCCCGUCCAUAUAGGGAGAGAGAGAGGCGGCGCAGCUUCUCGUGCUACGCCUGACCCGCUGCAGCUCCUCAUCCGCCGCCGGUGAAGGACCUCCUCCGCCGCCCUCCGCCUCUUCCUCCAGGCCACCAUGACGUCGGCUCCUCUCCUCCAAGCAGCCCCCUUCAUCUCCUCUCCGGCCAGGUGCCCAAAAGCCCCAGGCCCCCAGAUCGAGCUCGUCCUCGACGCCGGCCAUCGGCUACCGCGCACAUCAGGUACUGUAUAAUGGAUGCCGAUCCAGAUGCUGAUGGGUCGGUGCCACCGGUACUGAUCAGCAACUCAAGCGAUGCUGAUGGGUCUGUACGCUUCUACCCUGAACGCUUGAGCAGGCUGAGCCUCACCGCUCGCUUAGCGCUCAGCGCUUUUUUGAACCUUGAUUAACUGAAGAGGUGUAUUUGUCAAAUUUGUACCUUCCAAUCCCGAGCAAGCCCAUUAGCUGUUUUUCCAUAUGCGAUGGAGAAAUUGAGCAUCUUAGCUUUCCUUCU